CGCGCGCGAUGAGACGCCGCGACCGCGCGCAUUCGCGCGCAAAAUCUGUUGAAGCCGGUGAGGCGAGAGACCUGAAAUGAGGAAGAAAAUUAUGCAUAUGCCGCGGAGGGAGAAAGAGAGCAAAUGCUUCAGAUCAUCACAUAAAGUGGAAGUACAGCAAGCCUGACAUCAUAGAUUCAACAUACUUUUGAGUCAAAUUACGUUGACAUAUCCCUUCAGGAUGACUUGCUCUCACACUGGUUUUCUGGUUCUAAAAUGGUUUAUGAAGCCAAUCCGGGAACAGCAAACUGCACCAUUUGUGGAAGAGAGGUGCCUGACAGUUCAGAUUGGGAAGUGUGGGACUGCUCCCCUCCACAUCUAAAAGACACAAGAGACUGCAGAAACUGGAAUCUGAAGCAACACACAAGAUGCUGAAGGAACUCAGCAAGUCAGACAGCAUCCAUGGAGGGAAAUGGACAGUCAACAUUUUGGGGUGAGACCCUUCAUCUGGAUUCAAAAGAUCCAAAAAGCCAGGAGGGCUGUGUUGCUUAAAUGGAAGGAAGUUACUCCGCUUUCUCAUACUCAAUGGUUACGGGAUGUUAUGUCAUACCUAAAUUUAGAGAAGAUCCGUCGUUCAAUUUCUGAAUCUAACUUAGACUUUCAAACACCAUGGGGACCUUUUUUGAACUAUUUUCAAAACCUUUGAUCUGGUGGCUAAAGUACAGAUAUUGGCUGACAUCAUUACGUGUCAAAGAUUUUUUCCUUGUCCUUUUUUUACUAAACAGCUUCAGUCUUGGUAGUGGGUUUAGAUUUUUUUAUAAUAAAAUUAUUCCAAUUUAUUCGUUAUUAAUUAAUUAUCAUUUUUGAUUGCUAAUAUACAGUAUUGUGAUUUCAAGUAUGAUUUAACACAAUGUAUUUAGUAGUAUUUUUAUCUUCUUUUCGA